UACGAAGGGGGCUAGCGUUGCUCGGAAUCACUGGGCGUAAAGGGCGCGUAGGCGGAUCUUUAAGUCGGGGGUGAAAGCCCAGGGCUCAACCCUGGAAUUGCCUUCGAUACUGACAACCUCGAGUCCGGAAGAGGUGGGUGGAAUUCCUAGUGUAGAGGUGAAAUUCGUAGAUAUUAGGAAGAACACCAGUGGCGAAGGCGGCCCACUGGUCCGGUACUGACGCUGAGGUGCGAAAGCGUGGGGAGCAAACAGG
rnacentral:rRNA from 1 species